GUCAAAACAAGACUUACGGAUAACAAUCAGACCUUACCAGGGACAGGGACCAGACUAUAGAGCCUAAUUAAAAAGAAUUCGGGCUUGCUUUUUCAAUUCACAUCGAUUCCUCUAUCUCUUGCUCGCUUCGAUCGGACUCUGACAGCUUAGGGAAGAAUGAUGGGUCGCUAACGAGGCCCCUAAAUGACCGCUCAGAAGGCCUACCUAUUUUUUUUCCCAAUCUGUCACUUGCUCGUCCCUCUCUCAUGAAAAUGGUCUCUCCUCUCCCGGCGGCUUAGACUCAUGUCUAUAGUCAGUUGCUAAGAUGAUUCCCAUUCAAGCAUUCUCAUUCAAUGUCAAUGCUGCCUUAUUUUGUUCAAUCAGACCUUACCAGGGACAGGGACCAGACUAUAGAGCCUUAUUAAAAAGAAUUCGGGCUUGCCUUUUCAAUUCACAUCUAUGAGCGAGGAUUCCUCUAUCUCUUGCUUGCUUCGAUCGGACUCUGACAGCUUAGGGAAGAAUGAUGGGUCGCUAACGAGGCCCCUAAAUGACCGCUCAGAAGGCCUACCUAUUUUUUUUCCCAAUCUGUCACUUGCUCGUCCCUCUCUCAUGAAAAUGGUCUCUCCUCUCCCGGCGGCUUAGACUCAUGUCUAUAGUCAGUUGCUAAGAUGAUUCCCAUUCAAGCAUUCUCAUUCAAUGUCAAUGCUGCCUUAUUUUGUU
rnacentral:lncRNA from 1 species